GUGAAUUUUACCAAUAUCAAUUAAAGAUUUCCCUAUGAGGAGGGUGGUAGCUGACUCAAUAGAGACAAAUGAUCAGUGUUUCCAGAAUCAGCUCUAGUGCCAUCAGAGAUGGAGAAAAUAAAAGAUGUCAAAGGUUCACUUGAUUAACCUGAUUGGCUGUUUCAAGGGCUACUGUGAAAUUCUAGAAUUAUUUCCCCCUUUCAGGAGAAAGGAAUUUUGGCAUAAUGCUUUUCUAAGAAAUCUCUGACUAACAAAUGAAUAGGGGCAAGGGAACUAAAGGAAAAAGUUGUGUGCCUCUCAAAGGGCCUAAACAAAAGAGAAUACAUUCAGAGACAAGAACCUUUUGAGGUUUUUUAGAAUGCCCACUCUUUGAACUGUUUUAGUACUCUAAGGCUUUGGGAAAGUCCUAGGAAUUGUCCAAUGAUGUCGUCUAGCAAUUGCCCGAGUCCAAUCAUACAACAGGACGUGGAAGAAGAAGCCACUUGUUGUAAACCCACAGGCAAGUGGGCUGCAUGAGGAAUGAGUGGACUUGCACACGCUGUGCCGUUAGCGCAGUUCUGUGUUACAGGCUGUGUAAUGAAGAAUCUCCGUACCUGCAUCAUUCAAACUAACUGCUAAAGAUUUUUUCUAAUCCACAUCCAUAUGCUCCAUCCAGACAAGUACCAGUGUCAUCCUAAAUUAAGCCAUGCUUAGUUUCUUUGAUUUUUUUUCCAUUAAAAAAAUCAAUUUUCACACAUACAAAAUUUCCCUGAAAUUCACUGGGUUUUUACCAUCAGGCACUAUUUUCCAGGUAGGUAUUUCAGUUCUUAAACAAUCAAAGUUGGUCUCAAAUGAAAAAAACAAAUAAAUAAAAUAGCAAACAUCCAAA
rnacentral:lncRNA from 1 species